rnacentral:rRNA from 1 species
AUUGAACGCUGGCGGCAGGCCUAACACAUGCAAGUCGAACGGAUGAAGGGAGCUUGCUCCUGGAUUCAGCGGCGGACGGGUGAGUAAUGCCUAGGAAUCUGCCUGGUAGUGGGGGAUAACGUCCGGAAACGGGCGCUAAUACCGCAUACGUCCUGAGGGAGAAAGUGGGGGAUCUUCGGACCUCACGCUAUCAGAUGAGCCUAGGUCGGAUUAGCUAGUUGGUGGGGUAAAGGCCUACCAAGGCGACGAUCCGUAACUGGUCUGAGAGGAUGAUCAGUCACCCUGGAACUUAGACACGGUCCAGACUCCCAAGGGAGGCAGCAGUGGGGAAUAUUGGACAAUGGGCGAAAGCCUGAUCCAGCCAUGCCGCGUGUGUGAAGAAGGUCUUCGGAUUGUAAAGCACUUUAAGUUGGGAGGAAGGGCAGUAAGUUAAUACCUAGCUGUUUUGACGUUACCAACAGAAUAAGCACCGGCUAACUUCGUG